rnacentral:rRNA from 1 species
GGGUUGUGAGGUUAAGCGACUAAGCGUACACGGUGGAUGCCCUGGCAGUCAGAGGCGAUGAAGGACGUGCUAAUCUGCGAAAAGCGUCGGUAAGGUGAUAUGAACCGUUACAGCCGGCGAUGUCCGAAUGGGGAAACCCAGUGCAAUUCGUUGCACUAUCGUUAACUGAAUACAUAGGUUAACGAGGCGAACCGGGGGAACUGAAACAUCUAAGUACCCCGAGGAAAAGAAAUCAACCGAGAUUCCCCCAGUAGCGGCGAGCGAACGGGGAGCAGCCCAGAGUCUGAAUCAGCUUGUGUGUUAGUGGAACGGUCUGGAAAGUCCGACGGUACAGGGUGAUAGUCCCGUACACCAAAAUGCACAGGUUGUGAACUCGAAGAGUAGGGCGGGACACGUGGUAUCCUGUCUGAAUAUGGGGGGACCAUCCUCCAAGGCUAAAUACUCCUGACUGACCGAUAGUGAACCAGUACCGUGAGGGAAAGGCGAAAAGAACCCCGGCGAGGGGAGUGAAAAAGAACCUGAAACCGUGUACGUACAAGCAGUGGGAGCACCUUCGGGUGUGACUGCGUACCUUUUGUAUAAUGGGUCAGCGACUUAUAUUCUGUAGCAAGGUUAACCGUAUAGGGGAGCCGCAGGGAAACCGAGUCUUAACUGGGCGUUAAGUUGCAGGGUAUAGACCCGAAACCCGGUGAUCUAGCCAUGGGCAGGUUGAAGGUUGGGUAACACUAACUGGAGGACCGAACCGACUAAUGUUGAAAAAUUAGCGGAUGACUUGUGGCUGGGGGUGAAAGGCCAAUCAAACCGGGAGAUAGCUGGUUCUCCCCGAAAGCUAUUUAGGUAGCGCCUCGUGAAUUCAUCUUCGGGGGUAGAGCACUGUUUCGGCUAGGGGGUCAUCCCGACUUACCAACCCGAUGCAAACUACGAAUACCGAAGAAUGUUAUCACGGGAGACACACGGCGGGUGCUAACGUCCGUCGUGAAGAGGGAAACAACCCAGACCGCCAGCUAAGGUCCCAAAGUCACAGUUAAGUGGGAAACGAUGUGGGAAGGCACAGACAGCCAGGAUGUUGGCUUAGAAGCAGCCAUCAUUUAAAGAAAGCGUAAUAGCUCACUGGUCGAGUCGGCCUGCGCGGAAGAUGUAACGGGGCUAAACUGUGCACCGAAGCUGCGGCAGCGACACUAUGUGUUGUUGGGUAGGGGAGCGUUCUGUAAGCCUGCGAAGGUGGCCUGUGAGGGUUGCUGGAGGUAUCAGAAGUGCGAAUGCUGACAUAAGUAACGAUAAUGCGGGUGAAAAGCCCGCACGCCGGAAGACCAAGGGUUCCUGUCCAACGUUAAUCGGGGCAGGGUGAGUCGACCCCUAAGGCGAGGCCGAAAGGCGUAGUCGAUGGGAAACAGGUUAAUAUUCCUGUACUUGGUGUUACUGCGAAGGGGGGACGGAGAAGGCUAUGUUAGCCGGGCGACGGUUGUCCCGGUUUAAGCAUGUAGGCGGAGGUUCCAGGUAAAUCCGGUACCUUUUAACGCUGAGGUGUGAUGACGAGGCACUACGGUGCUGAAGUAACAAAUGCCCUGCUUCCAGGAAAAGCCUCUAAGCAUCAGGUAACAUUAAAUCGUACCCCAAACCGACACAGGUGGUCAGGUAGAGAAUACCAAGGCGCUUGAGAGAACUCGGGUGAAGGAACUAGGCAAAAUGGUGCCGUAACUUCGGGAGAAGGCACGCUGAUAUGUAGGUGAAGCCCCUGCGGGUGGAGCUGAAAUCAGUCGAAGAUACCAGCUGGCUGCAACUGUUUAUUAAAAACACAGCACUGUGCAAACACGAAAGUGGACGUAUACGGUGUGACGCCUGCCCGGUGCCGGAAGGUUAAUUGAUGGGGUUAUCCGUAAGGAGAAGCUCUUGAUCGAAGCCCCGGUAAACGGCGGCCGUAACUAUAACGGUCCUAAGGUAGCGAAAUUCCUUGUCGGGUAAGUUCCGACCUGCACGAAUGGCGUAAUGAUGGCCAGGCUGUCUCCACCCGAGACUCAGUGAAAUUGAACUCGCUGUGAAGAUGCAGUGUACCCGCGGCAAGACGGAAAGACCCCGUGAACCUUUACUAUAGCUUGACACUGAACAUUGAGCCUUGAUGUGUAGGAUAGGUGGGAGGCUUUGAAGCGUGGACGCCAGUCUGCGUGGAGCCAACCUUGAAAUACCACCCUUUAAUGUUUGAUGUUCUAACGUUGGCCCCUUAUCGGGGUUGCGGACAGUGUCUGGUGGGUAGUUUGACUGGGGCGGUCUCCUCCCAAAGAGUAACGGAGGAGCACGAAGGUUAGCUAAUCCUGGUCGGACAUCAGGAGGUUAGUGCAAUGGCAUAAGCUAGCUUGACUGCGAGCGUGACGGCGCGAGCAGGUGCGAAAGCAGGUCAUAGUGAUCCGGUGGUUCUGAAUGGAAGGGCCAUCGCUCAACGGAUAAAAGGUACUCCGGGGAUAACAGGCUGAUACCGCCCAAGAGUUCAUAUCGACGGCGGUGUUUGGCACCUCGAUGUCGGCUCAUCACAUCCUGGGGCUGAAGUAGGUCCCAAGGGUAUGGCUGUUCGCCAUUUAAAGUGGUACGCGAGCUGGGUUUAGAACGUCGUGAGACAGUUCGGUCCCUAUCUGCCGUGGGCGCUGGAGAAUUGAGGGGGGCUGCUCCUAGUACGAGAGGACCGGAGUGGACGCAUCACUGGUGUUCGGGUUGUCAUGCCAAUGGCAUUGCCCGGUAGCUAAAUGCGGAAGAGAUAAGUGCUGAAAGCAUCUAAGCACGAAACUUGCCCCGAGAUGAGUUCUCCCUGAGACUUUAAGUCUCCUGAAGGAACGUUAAAGACGAUGACGUUGAUAGGUCGGGUGUGUAAGCGUAGCGAUACGUUGAGCUAACCGAUACUAAUGAACCGUGAGGCUUAACCUUACAACGCCGAAGGUGUUU